AAACAAUUAAUAUAGGUUAAAAGGACCUCGUACAUGUUGGAAAAUAAAUGAAAAAGGAGAAAGCAUAGAAACGGUGGGAGACUGAAGAGGUGAUUCCACGUAGUGAAGCAUGGAAACAAAAUUCCACCGUAGCCGUUAUGCCAAAGUUUUAAUUUAAUUGUUAAAUUCCAUGGCCGAGACAGUCAAAUCUCACUGCCCCCAUUUCCCGUUAGGUGCAUUUAAAAACAACUUCAUUCAUUCCAUUCUAUCGU
rnacentral:lncRNA from 1 species